rnacentral:rRNA from 1 species
GACGAACGCUGGCGGCCUGCUUAACACAUGCAAGUCGAACGGUAAGGCCCUUCGGGGUACACGAGUGGCGAACGGGUGAGUAACACGUGGGUGAUCUGCCCUGCACUUCGGGAUAAGCCUGGGAAACUGGGUCUAAUACCGGAUAGGACCACUGCCUGCAUGGGUGGUGGUGGAAAGCUUUUGCGGUGUGGGAUGGGCCCGCGGCCUAUCAGCUUGUUGGUGGGGUGAUGGCGUACCAAGGCGACGACGGGAAGCCGGCCUGAGAGGGUGACCGGCCACACUGGGACUGAGAUACGGCCCAGACUCCUACGGGAGGCAGCAGUGGGGAAUAUUGCACAAUGGGCGCAAGCCUGAUGCAGCGACGCCGCGUGAGGGAUGACGGCCUUCGGGUUGUAAACCUCUUUCAGCACCGACGAAGCGCAAGUGACGGUAGGUGCAGAAGAAGGACCGGCCAACUACGUGCCAGCCGCCGCGGUAA